rnacentral:rRNA from 1 species
UCGAGAAUUUUUCUCAAUGGGGGAAACCCUGACGGAGCGACGCCGCGUGGGGGAUGAAUGGCUUCUGCCCGUAAACCCCUGUCAUUCGGGAUCAAACGUUAUUCAUGAAUAAUGGGUAGCCUGCUUGUACCGGAAGAGGAAGGGACGGCUAACUCUGUGCCAGCAGCCGCGGUAAUACAGAGGUCCCAAGCGUUGUUCGGAUUUACUGGGCGUAAAGGGUGCGUAGGAGGUGGGGUAAGUUUGAGGUGA